ACACAUUUGAAACAUCCAAUGCAUCUUGGAACUCGUAGUCAAAUUUACAUCUACAGCAUGUAAGAACGCCAGGGCAAAAGACUUCAAUUCCCAGAAUGCACCUGCACCCACCCAUUCAUUCCCACCAAUCAGGAUCAACGGCAUUAUUUCAAACCGCUACUGACUCGGUCUUCGUUUUCAUGCUAAACAGUACGGCUGAGAGGUCAUGUACCAUGUGGUCGACCUUGCUGAUGCUGAAGAGGUUUCUGUGUUAAAAUGAUGUAAGUUUAAUCAUUAAUCUUGUUUUAAUUCAUGCCCAUGUCAUGCUGGCUACCAGUCAAAUAUCGCAUACAAUUAAAAAUACUAUUAAUCACCUAUAAAACCUUAAAUGGCCCAGCACCUUUGUAUCUUAGAGAAUUAAUAUCAGAAUACAAUCCAACACGUACACUGCGGUCGCAAAAUUCUGGUCUCUUAAUUAUUCCUAGAAUAUCAAAAGUGUCUAAGCUCUGAAAUGAUUUGCCAACUGAUGUCUGUGAAUCAGACACAGUCAAUCACUUUAAAUCUAAAGGGACACUUCACCCAUUUGUAUUAAAGGAAUAGUCUACUCAUUUUCAAUAUUAAAAUAUGUUAUUACCUUAACUAAGAAUUGUUGAUACAUCCCUCUAUCAUCUGUGUGCGUGCACGUAAGCGCUGGAGCGCGCUGCGACGCUUCGAUAGCAUUUAGCUUAGCCCCAUUCAUUCAAUGGUACCAUUUAGAGAUAAAGUUAGAAGUGACCAAACACAUCAACGUUUUUCCUAUUUAAGACGAGUAGUUAUACGAGCAAGUUUGGUGGUACCAAAUAAAACGUAGCGCUUUUCUAAGCGGAUUUAAAAGAGGAACUAUAUUGUAUGGCGGAACAGCACUUUUGUGAGUACUUCGACUCGGCGCAGUAACACCCUCCCUCUCCCAUUAUGAGAGGGAGAAGGGGAGCGGAUUUUUCAGGCGAGUUGAAGUACUCCCAAAAGUGCUAUUACGCCAUAAAAUAUAGUUCCUCUUUUAAAUCCGCUUAGAAAAGCGCUACGUUUUAUUUUGUACCACCAAAAUAACUACUCAUCUUAAAUAGGAAAAACGUUGAUGUGUCUGGUCACUUCUAACUUUAUCUCUGAGUGGUACCAUUGAAUGAAUGGGGCUAACUAAAUGCUAUCGAAGCGUCGCAGCGCGCUCCAGCGCUUACGUGCACGCACACAGAUGAUAGAGGGAUGUAUCAACUCUUCUUAGUUAAGGUAAUAACAUAUUUUAAUAUUGAAAAUGAGUAGACUAUUCCUUUAAGCCUAGUAUCUUUAGAACCCCAGUCAUGUUUUUGAAUGGUCGUGCAUCAUUUCCUGAGACAGGAGAAAUACAGAUUUCAGUGUUGCACUUUCUUCUUUCAAUGAUGUAAAAAUCAUCAUUUUGCAUCAUUGAAAGAAGGAAGUCCAAUAUCUUUGUUGAGGGGGUGAGACUACAAACACCCCUUUUUCAGUCAAAUAGGCACCAAAUUCGAAAUGUAUGUUAAAUUUCCACUACAAAUAUGAGACACUUUUAAUAAAGAUUAAUGUUUCUACGGGUGAAAUGGUCCAUUAAAGCAGUGGUUCUCAAUCUUGUUCCUGGGGACCCCCUGCUCUGCACAUUUUGUAUGUCUCUCUAACCUGACACACUUUGCUUAGUUCAUGGAGCUCUCAUCUAAUGAGCUGAUGAUUAGAGUCAGGUGUGUUAGAUAAGGAAUACAUACAAAAUGUGCAGAGCAGGGGGUCCCCAGUAACAGGAUUGAGAACCACUGCAUUAAAGGAUAAUUCUGGCAUUUAACACUUUGAGUCUCAUUUCUGGUUUGUUUUGGAUGAACUGCAGUGAUGGACACAGAAAUUUUGACAAUGGGUCGUGUCUUGAAUUUUUUGACUCGUUUAGAAGCGUCUCUUGACUGCUUCAGAAUGGAAGUCAAGGGUCAUGCACAAACAUGUCAUUAAAACAACACUUAACGUUCAUUUUCAAAACCGAGUGGUUUGUGGUUUUCGUUGAUGAUUAAAAACAAGUAGUGUAGCGAAAUACAGUUUCUGUCGUGUUUUAUUUGGCAUUUUGUAAAAUUCCAUUGACUUCUCUUGGAAGACUCAUUGCUCACUUAUAUACCACCCGCUGGAAAUGGAAAAGGGGUCUGUUUACAUGUGGUUGUAGUUUUUUCGCUCGAUUUCUCUCAGAAGGCUAGCAUGAGCAGAGCAACUGUGCCCUCGGAGUGGGGCACAAAUUUUUCCCAUAUUUGAUGGCUCAGUGACCAGCCUUUGGUUUGAAGUUGAGCUCGAUUGUGACUGUCUAUACGCUAGACACCAAGUUCCGUUCAGCGUGGUUGUCGCCAUCAAGUGGUCAGGAGUGUGCUAACGCUUCAGAAUCAAAUAUAGAGCGGAAGUAUAUACGUGGUUGUGAGGUGUCUGAAAAAAUAGAUCCACUAUAGCAAAUAACACGGAUUGAAAUCAUACAUUGCUCUGAUAUAUUUGUUUUUAAUCAUCAACAUACACCACGAACCACUCUGUGAGUAGCACAGUUUUGAAAAUGAACAUUAAAGGAACAGUAUGUAAGAAAUGUAUAUCAAUUAAUCAUAAAAUGGCCCUGAUAUGUCACUAGACAUUAAGAAAUCAUUUUCAUUUCAAAUACUUAUAUCACUGACAACAGUGGUCCGGCCAGGAUAUUGUCAUUUAAAAAGUGGAGUUGCAGCCCUCAACUGAUGUUUAUGUUGUCAUUUUGUGUAUUGGCCACCAGUUGUGUGAUUGCAGUACCAGUUUUAGCCACAAGUUUUGUGAUUGCAGUACCAGUUUUGGCCACAAUCCUAGAUACUGUUCCUUUAAGUGUUGUUUUAAUGACAUGUUUGUGCAUGGCCCUUGACCUCCAUUCUGAAGCAGUCAAGAGACGCUUCUAAACAAGUCAAAAAGUCAAGACAUGACCCAUUGUCAAAAUUUCAGUGACCAUCACUGUAGUUCAUCCAAAACAAACCAGAAAUGAGACUCAAAGUUUUUAAUACCGGAAUUAUUCUUUAAGACUUUUUUCUUUAACAAAGCAUUCACAUAUUUUGUCUAGUAAAUUAUACUUAUCUCGCAAAAGUUAGCUUGUACAGAACAAAGCAUUCACAUAACUUGUCUGGGUAAUUUACUAAUGCCGCAAUAGCUAGCCUGUCUGGAACCGAGCAGAUAUUAAAACACAACACUGUGUGACACUGCAUUACAUGUGAAUGGCCCCUACACUAAUAGGAUUUUGUUUCUCUCUCCCUGUCUCGUCCUCAAACCCGAGGACAUUGAGACAAACAGACCAGUUCCGGCUGCCGUGGAGGUCAACACACCACUGAUCUACUGGCUGCCCUUCAACGUGAUGCCCAGCCGAUGCCUGACCACCGACGGAACCCGCUAAAUCUCCUUAUCUGUUUACAUCCCAUAUAUAUAUGUGUAUAUCUUUUCCUCCUAGGACUUUUUGUUCCUCCCUGAGGUUUUUCUCCUAGGGGUUUUUUCAACCUCGGGGAGUCAACCAACAUUGGCUUAACUUAGCACCCUCUUUUAUACGAGACAUUAUUAAUUUACUCGCUUGUAAGUUUGCUCGCUUGUUCUAUGUUUCCCCUGCUUCUUUUAAUGUAAAGCUGCUUUGAAACAACUACAAAUUGUGAAAAGCGCUAUAUAAAUAAAAUUGAAAUUGAAAUGUCUCUUUCCUGUUUUACAGAUGCAGUGAGGGAGUGAUUUCCCAACAUCGAGGUGGCAGAGAUCCGGGACCUUCUACGGAGGAAGUGCAACAAUGCCAGUUACAAGGCCUCCAGUAGUUCAAAUCAGAGCUAGAUGUGCAUAUAGUACAAGUUGUUCGCAAUUGUUCUCUUCCCGGCAUUUCAAAGAAAGUCGACUGUUUAAGGUUCCCAUUUUGCCAAUAUCUGUUUUGUGUGUUACUUUUGUGUCAAUAAUAAAGAUCCUUUUUUGAAAUGCA